UUGAACGCUGGCGGCAGGCCUAACACAUGCAAGUCGAACGGUAACAGGAAGCAGCUUGCUGUUUCGCUGACGAGUGGCGGACGGGUGAGUAAUGUCUGGGAAACUGCCUGAUGGAGGGGGAUAACUACUGGAAACGGUAGCUAAUACCGCAUAACGUCGCAAGACCAAAGAGGGGGACCUUCGGGCCUCUUGCCAUCGGAUGUGCCCAGAUGGGAUUAGCUAGUAGGUGGGGUAACGGCUCACCUAGGCGACGAUCCCUAGCUGGUCUGAGAGGAUGACCAGCCACACUGGAACUGAGACACGGUCCAGACUCCUACGGGAGGCAGCAGUGGGGAAUAUUGCACAAUGGGCGCAAGCCUGAUGCAGCCAUGCCGCGUGUAUGAAGAAGGCCUUCGGGUUGUAAAGUACUUUCAGCGGGGAGGAAGGGAGUAAAGUUAAUACCUUUGCUCAUUGACGUUACCCGCAGAAGAAGCACCGGCUAACUCCGUGCCAGCAGCCGCGGUAAUACGGAGGGUGCAAGCGUUAAUCGGAAUUACUGGGCGUAAAGCGCACGCAGGCGGUUUGUUAAGUCAGAUGUGAAAUCCCCGGGCUCAACCUGGGAACUGCAUCUGAUACUGGCAAGCUUGAGUCUCGUAGAGGGGGGUAGAAUUCCAGGUGUAGCGGGGAAAUGCGUAGAGAUCUGGAGGAAUACCGGUGGCGAAGGCGGCCCCCUGGACGAAGACUGACGCUCAGGUGCGAAAGCGUGGGGAGCAAACAGGAUUAGAUACCCUGGUAGUCCACGCCGUAAACGAUGUCGACUUGGAGGUUGUGCCCUUGAGGCGUGGCUUCCGGAGCUAACGCGUUAAGUCGACCGCCUGGGGAGUACGGCCGCAAGGUUAAAACUCAAAUGAAUUGACGGGGGCCCGCACAAGCGGUGGAGCAUGUGGUUUAAUUCGAUGCAACGCGAAGAACCUUACCUGGUCUUGACAUCCACGGAAGUUUUCAGAGAUGAGAAUGUGCCUUCGGGAACCGUGAGACAGGUGCUGCAUGGCUGUCGUCAGCUCGUGUUGUGAAAUGUUGGGUUAAGUCCCGCAACGAGCGCAACCCUUAUCCUUUGUUGCCAGCGGUCCGGCCGGGAACUCAAAGGAGACUGCCAGUGAUAAACUGGAGGAAGGUGAGGAUGACGUCAAGUCAUCAUGGCCCUUACGACCAGGGCUACACACGUGCUACAAUGGCGCAUACAAAGAGAAGCGACCUCGCGAGAGCAAGCGGACCUCAUAAAGUGCGUCGUAGUCCGGAUUGGAGUCUGCAACUCGACUCCAUGAAGUCGGAAUCGCUAGUAAUCGUGGAUCAGAAUGCCACGGUGAAUACGUUCCCGGGCCUUGUACACACCGCCCGUCACACCAUGGGAGUGGGUUGCAAAAGAAGUAGGUAGCUUAACCUUCGGGAGGGCGCUUACCACUUUGUGAUUCAUGACUGGGGUG
rnacentral:rRNA from 1 species